AGGCAGCAGUAAGGAAUAUUGGUCAAUGGACGCAAGUCUGAACCAGCCAUGCCGCGUGCAGGAUGAAGGCCCUCUGGGUUGUAAACUGCUUUUAUAGGGGACGAAAAAGGGACUUUCUAGUUCAACUGACGGUACCCUAGGAAUAAGCACCGGCUAACUCCGUGCCAGCAGCCGCGGUAAUACGGAGGGUGCAAGCGUUAUCCGGAUUUACUGGGUUUAAAGGGUGCGUAGGUGGGUCGGUAAGUCAGCGGUGAAAUCUUCGAGCUUAACUCGGAAACUGCCAUUGAUACUAUCGAUCUUGAAUCAUCUAGAGGUAAGCGGAAUAUGUCAUGUAGCGGUGAAAUGCUUAGAUAUGACAUGGAACACCAAUUGCGAAGGCAGCUUACUAUGGAUGUAUUGACACUGAGGCACGAAAGCGUGGGGAUCAAACAGGAUUAGAUACCCUGGUAG
rnacentral:rRNA from 1 species